rnacentral:rRNA from 7 species
CUAAAGUCUAAAACGACUCUCGGCAACGGAUAUCUCGGCUCUCGCAUCGAUGAAGAACGUAGCGAAAUGCGAUACUUGGUGUGAAUUGCAGAAUCCCGUGAACCAUCGAGUCUUUGAACGCAAGUUGCGCCCCAAGCCUUCUGGCCGAGGGCACGUCUGCCUGGGU